rnacentral:rRNA from 1 species
CGCAUCUGUGCAUGCAGCAUAUCAAUAAGCGGAGGAAAAGAAACUAACAAGGAUUCCCCUAGUAACGGCGAGUGAAGCGGGAAGAGCUCAAAUUUGAAAUCUUAAAGGGUUUCCCUUUACGAAUUGUAGUUUAAAGAAGUGUUUUCUGUUGAGGUUUUGGUAAAAGUUCUUUGGAAUAGGACAUCAUAGAGGGUGAGAAUCCCGUAUUUGACCUUUACUUUCAACUUUGUGAUACACUUUCAAAGAGUCGGAUUGUUUGGGAAUGCAGUCCAAAAUGGGUGGUAAAUUUCAUCUAAAGCUAAAUAUUGGCGAGAGACCGAUAGCGAACAAGUACCGUGAGGGAAAGAUGAAAAGAACUUUGAAAAGAGAGUUAAACAGUACGUGAAAUUGUCAAAAGGGAAGCGUUUGACACCAGUGUUGUUUUUCUGAAAAUCAAUUAAAGAACUGUUUAUGCUAAGCUGUUUAGACUUUAUCAGCUAUCUGUUUAGUUUUGAGCUUUUCUUUAAUGCACUUUUCAGUUAACAAGUCAACAUCAAUUUCUUUUGCUGUAAAAAAGCUUGAGGAAGGUGGCUUGAGAUUCGUCUUAAGUGUUUAUAGCCUCUUGCCUAUGCAGUCGGAGAGAUUGAGGUCUGCAGCGUAGAUCCUUCGGGGCUAAAUGCAUUUGUGCUAAGUUAUAGCAUUUUAUAGACAACUUGUUGACUAUGAUUUGUCUUGUAGCUUACUCGCUUAUGUUAUUUUACCUACGCUUAGGAUGUUGAUAGUCACAGCGUGUAC